GAGUACCAAUUUCUUGCUGCUCCCUUCAAGGUGGAUGGGAAAGCUCGGCACAGGAUGGCGUCUGGCGCACCAUGGAGCAGCAUCAUUGUCCGGAAGGCCUCUAGGUGGUCAACCAGAUCCGAGGUCCCAUCGUAGCUUUCGAAUUGGGGGAGCUUGAACUCCGAUCGGAUAAGUUCUUAAUUGUAGGGUUUGAGAUUGUUUGGUUUAUGCAAAAUAUUUAC
rnacentral:lncRNA from 1 species